CAGCAGCCACGGGAAUCCGAAGGGGGCUAGCGUUGCUCGGAAUGACUGGGCGUAGAGGGCGCGUAGGCGGCGGCCAAAGUCAGGCGUGAAAUUCCUGGGCUCAACCUGGGGGCUGCGUUUGAUACUUGGUUGCUUGAGUGGGGAAGAGGGUCGUGGAAUUCCCAGUGUAGAGGCGAAAUUCGUAGAUAUUGGGAAGAACACCGGUGGCGAAGGCGGCGACCUGGUCCUUUACUGACGCUGAGGCGCGAAAGCGUUGGGAGCAAACAGGAUUAGAUACCCCAGUAGUCCCUGUCUCUUAUAA
rnacentral:rRNA from 1 species